AGAGUUUGAUCCUGGCUCAGGAUGAACGCUAGCGGCAGGCUUAACACAUGCAAGUCGAGGGGUAACGGGGAAGCUUGCUUCCGCCGACGACCGGCGCACGGGUGCGUAACGCGUAUACAAUCUACCUUGUACUGGGGUAUAGCCUUUAGAAAUGAAGAUUAACCCCCCAUAGUCUCUUAGAGUGGCAUCACUUCUAGAGUAAAGGUUACGGUAUAAGAUGAGUAUGCGUUCUAUUAGUUUGUUGGUGUGGUAACGGCACACCAAGACUACGAUAGGUAGGGGCCCUGAGAGGGGGAUCCCCCACACUGGUACUGAGACACGGACCAGACUCCUACGGGAGGCAGCAGUGAGGAAUAUUGGACAAUGGAGGCAACUCUGAUCCAGCCAUGCCGCGUGCAGGAAGACUGCCCUAUGGGUUGUAAACUGCUUUUAUACAGGAAGAAACACCUCUACGUGUAGAGGCUUGACGGUACUGUAAGAAUAAGGAUCGGCUAACUCCGUGCCAGCAGCCGCGGUAAUACGGAGGAUCCAAGCGUUAUCCGGAAUCAUUGGGUUUAAAGGGUCCGUAGGUGGAUAAUUAAGUCAGAGGUGAAAUCUUGCAGCUCAACUGUAAAAUUGCCUUUGAAACUGGUUAUCUUGAGUUAUUAUGAAGUAGUUAGAAUAUGUAGUGUAGCGGUGAAAUGCAUAGAUAUUACAUAGAAUACCAAUUGCGAAGGCAGAUUACUAAUAAUCAACUGACACUGAUGGACGAAAGCGUGGGUAGCGAACAGGAUUAGAUACCCUGGUAGUCCACGCCGUAAACGAUGGUUACUAGCUGUUUGGACUUCGGUCUGAGUGGCUAAGCGAAAGUGAUAAGUAACCCCACCUGGGGAGUACGUUCGCAAGAAUGAAACUCAAAGGAAUUGACGGGGGCCCGCACAAGCGGUGGAGCAUGUGGUUUAAUUCGAUGAUACGCGAGGAACCUUACCAGGGCUUAAAUGUAAGUUGCAUUAGUUAGAGAUAGCUAUUUCUUCGGACCACUUACAAGGUGCUGCAUGGUUGUCGUCAGCUCGUGCCGUGAGGUGUCAGGUUAAGUCCUAUAACGAGCGCAACCCCUGUUGUUAGUUGCCAGCGAGUCAUGUCGGGAACUCUAGCAAGACUGCCAGUGCAAACUGUGAGGAAGGUGGGGAUGACGUCAAAUCAUCACGGCCCUUACGUCCUGGGCUACACACGUGCUACAAUGGUAGGUACAGAGAGCAGCCACUGCGCGAGCAGGAGCGAAUCUAUAAAACCUAUCACAGUUCGGAUCGGAGUCUGCAACUCGACUCCGUGAAGCUGGAAUCGCUAGUAAUCGGAUAUCAGCCAUGAUCCGGUGAAUACGUUCCCGGGCCUUGUACACACCGCCCGUCAAGCCAUGGAAGUUGGAAGUGCCUGAAGUCCGUCACCGUAAGGAGCGGCCUAGGGUAAAGUCGAUAACUAGGGCUAAGUCGUAACAAGGUA
rnacentral:rRNA from 1 species